UGCGGGGGGGGCAAGCGUUGUUCGGAAUUACUGGGCGUAAAGGGCUCGUAGGCGGCCAACUAAGUCAGACGUGAAAUCCCUCGGCUUAACCGGGGAACUGCGUCUGAUACUGGAUGGCUUGAAUCCGGGAGAGGGAUGCGGAAUUCCAGGUGUAGCGGUGAAAUGCGUAGAUAUCAGGAGGAACACCGGUGGCGAAGGCGGGUCUCUGGGCCGAUACUGACGCUGAGGAGCGAAAGCGUGGGGAGCGAACAGG
rnacentral:rRNA from 1 species